GAUUAAGCCAUGCAUGUGUAAGUGUAAAUAUACUAGUUUGGAACUGCGAAUGGCUCAUUAUAUCAGUUAUAGUUUAUUUGGUGAAGUGUACUACUUGGAUAACCGUAGUAAUUCUAGGGCUAAUACAUGAGUAAAGUCCCGUUGGGAUGUGUUUAUUAGAAUGAAAACCAUAUGCUUCGGCAUGAUAGUGAGUAAUAGUAACCUAUCGUAUCGCAUGCUUAAUGUAGCGAUGAGUCUUUCAAGUUUCUGCCCUAUCAGCUUUCGAUGGUAGCAUAUGGGUCUACCAUG
rnacentral:rRNA from 1 species